UAUGCUAUCACAGCAUAAUUUUUUUAAAGUUAGAAACCUAGUAAAAGUAGGAGUAUAAAAAAAAAAAAGCUUGCUGCAACUAUUGGUUUAAAUGAACAGAUAGGCUUACAUUUCUGAUGGCAUUCCUUAGCAGUGGAAAUCUUUUUAGUGAACUGUUCUAAAAGAAAAACUACUUCUCUAUAUACGCACUCAAGUUAUAUGAACUGUUGUGUUUUAAAACAGGUAUUGUCAAAUUGAUUUUUUAACCGUUUUCUUUUUUUACAAAUCUAAAUUUUUUCUUAUCUCAGUUUCAUAACCAUCCCAGUUUUUAAAUAUUUUAAAUCAGCUAUGUGUUUCUUCAUUAUGUAAAACUGUUUCCUAGGAUGUCAACCCUUUUGGACCACUUGAAAUGAAGUCUCAUUGAAUUUGAUGCAGAAGCUGAGACAGACCGUCCUCUGAUGUAAUGUAACCAACAUCUGUGUUGCUCUUCUGAAGAAUCUUGUGGAACUUGCAAACCUUUAGGAUACUGAAAGAGACCAGACAAAAGUUAUUGAUAGCAAAACUUUAGAACUUACAAAUGGACAACUGAAAUGGUGACUGCAAGGAUAUCAAAGAUCCAACCCUCAGGCCAUAUCGGUCCUGUGGACCCACUCAUCCAGUCCCUUUGGUCUGAGUUGACCCACGUUUAUGGAGUGGCCCCAAGUGCAGGGCUCAGGAUGUGCAUCACAUGCAGUGCCUGCUUCAGGCAGCUCAUGAUCCCUACAUGUGGUGCCCACUGUGGGACUCAUGCUGCACAUGACGCCCAUCCCAGCCCAUUUGGAAUCUGCUCUGCACAAGAAGCCCAACCCACUGGCCUGGUCCAGGACUGUUCUGCAUGCUGUGGACACUCAGGUAUUUCAAUGAACUGCUUUCAAUUUACUGGUUGGGAAAUUAGUUCCUUUUUACUUCUUGGCAAUAUUUGAAUUCUCUGCUCUCUCUGACUCAACUCCUCCUGCUUCUAAACAUUUUUCAGUUGUUUCUUUAAUUACCUAGUUGCUCCUAUAUAAAAUAUCCCAUCAGACAAAGUAGAACAGCUAGAAGCCACCUUGCAAGGAAAACACAUUUUUGCAUGGAUGAUCCCAUGAAUUCUCUGCGAAUCAUAUUUUAUAAACUCCUGGGAUUUGGUCACCCCACUGACCUCCUAGAGACAGCCCUACCAAAAAAUAAUUUUUAACAAGAAGCUCUGUUUCAAGAGUGCCUGUGCUUCCAGACAGCAAGAGUGAACAAAUAAGGAAUAUAAUUUUUUAUUUCCUAUUUAAAAGGAAGGAGAGAGGUAGCAAAUUUAAGUGCAUACUUAUGCUACUGAUAUGUACCGUGAAAAGCAGAAGUGUUUAAUUUAUGAAAUCUGAAAUGGAUGUGUGAAGCCCAGGAGGUGGAGAUGGGAGGUUACCCCCAAACUGAAAUUGACACUUAGUAAAAAUCUGGUGAUUCUAAAAAACACAUUUUGUUCUUCAGAGCCUUAUUGUAAGCCUCACCAGUAAGAUUUUGAGAAUGUGUGCUGAACUUAUUGUAUAUCAAAGCUAAUGGUAUGAAAUACUCCAUCCUGUGCAGGGCAAUCAUCUAAAAAUUUUCCUUCAGCAUAAUAGAGUUUGCUGAGGGGUUCACGUAGCACACAGUCAGCCCCAGGACUCUUUUCAGCCCACCCCUUUUCUGUGAACGUCUAAUUAGUUUUGUGACUAAUCAUCUGAAAAGCAAAAAUUAGAAGCACCUUAUGCUGAAAUUUAAUAAAAUAUGAUUUACAGUUUU